CCUCAACCCACAAGCGACCUGCUCUACAGUGGAAAGUCCCAGAGCGAUGUGCCCGCACCAGAUCUCUGGGGCUCCAUCCCAGGCAUCACAGCGUCUCAGCUUCUUGGUAGGAAAUGAAACUCAUUGCUGUUACUCGUAGUCAGAAUCAAGGCCAGUUAAAAAUAGGUGGUACUGAAUAGAUUGCAAAGGUCAUAGUCUAAGAGAAACU